rnacentral:misc_RNA from 1 species
GAUGAAGAACGUAGUGAAAUGCGAUAAGUAAUGUGAAUUGCAGAAUUCAGUGAAUCAUCGAAUCUUUGAACGCACAUUGCGCCCAUUAGUAUUCUAGUGGGCAUGCCUGUUCGAGCGUCAUUAAGUCCACUUAAGCCCUGCUUAGUGUUGGGAGACUGCUCCAGCGGUGCUACCCUGUAGCUACCCUGCAGCUCCUCAAAGACAGCGGCGGAGUUGUGGUAUCCUCUGAGCUUAGUAACUUGUUCUAGCUUUCGAGUACACCACUUCCCCUGCCGUAAAACCCUUAAUGUUUAAUGGUUGACCUCGGAUCAGGUAGGAAUCCCCGCUGAACUUAAGCAUAUCAAUAAGCGGAGGA